AUUCAGCUGAUGAGUCCCAAAUAGGAUGAAAUGCGCAUUUUGGAU
rnacentral:hammerhead_ribozyme from 1 species